UACAGAGGGUGCGAGCGUUAAUCGGAAUUACUGGGCGUAAAGCGUGCGUAGACGGUUAUUUAAGUCGGGUGUGAAAUCCCCAGGCUCAACCUGGGAACUGCGUCUGAUACUGGAUGGCUUGAAUCCGGGAGAGGGAUGCAGAAUUCCAGGUGUAGCGGUGAAAUGCGUAGAUAUCGGGAGGAACACCAGAGGCGAAGGCGGGUUACUGGGCUGAUACUGACGCUGAUGCGCGAAAGCUAGGGGAGCAAACGGG
rnacentral:rRNA from 1 species